CCAUUGAUGUAGUCGCGCCAGAAUGCAUCGAGCCCGUCUCCUCUUGAGGGUGACGUAGGGCAGCAGGUCGUGGCGAGUGAUGAUGCGCAGCAGCUGCAGCACCUGGCGAAAGUUACUUUCAUCACAGCGGCCCUGGCGCUCCAGUGCCAAUAAGAAGUCACGUCCAUUUCGGAUGAGUCCACGCUCGUGGUCAUCAAUGACAUCAACAAAGAGGAAAGAAAGCACGCGCACAUCUCUGUGUGUCAGAUGAGUGCCCACGAUGUCAAACAUGCGGUGCAGGCUGUAUAGCCCAUGUUCCUGCUCACCAUGCUCUUCUGGCCACACCUGGCUUGCCCGCCGCUUUAGGCCCGCCAUGCUGGGGGCUCAGGUACUCAAUGCUUUCCAGAAUCCCUGCUCAGCAGCUGCAAUCCCCACCGUACUGAAAGGGCAGGGAAAGAACCGAUGAGACACUCAAGGGCAGGAACUAGUCUCAUGCAUUCCCAUAUUUCCAGUCGCUAACAAUGCCUGGCACAGUAUAGUGCUUUAUACAUGUUUAUUAAAUUUUUAAAGUGUUUGUUUAAAAAUAAACACUGGCCAGGCACAGGGGCUCACACCUGUAAUCCCAGCAUUUUGGGAGGCCAAGGCAGGAGGAUCACUUGAGCCCAGGCGUUCAAGACCAACCUGGGCAACAUAGGGAGACCCGUUUCUACAAAAAAAGAAAAAA
rnacentral:sRNA from 1 species